AACAUGUAUGCUCGCUUCUGCUGUCGAUGCAGGGGAACCCGGUGCGAAUCCGGGACUGCCCCGCAGCGGUGAGCGGGCGGCUCCAGCAGCCGCACCCCGCGAGUCCGAGUACCUGCCGACGGCGUGCGCCACGG
rnacentral:ncRNA from 2 species